rnacentral:lncRNA from 1 species
AUAAAUGUAAUCUGAUGACAGAAGCAAAGAGAGAGGAGCAAGACACGAGAAAAUGCUAUGCUGCAAUAUUUAAAGGGAUUUGAAAUCCUAUAAACUCUACAGCAAUGUUAUCAUCCUCUUAUUGAGGAAAGAGGAAAUGUUAUGGUAUUAUGGCCAUAGUCCUGGAUGAGAAAUCAGUAGAAAUCUGCUCUGGUCCUGCUUCUAAAUGAUUGUGCUACUUUGAGAAAGUCAUCUAACAUCAGU